UUCCAAACCACAAGUGAAGCGCGGUGUGCAGCUGAGCUAGCUACGGUCUUUCUUUUUUGGGCAGUGAUCUGCGCCGGUGCGCCGGCCCAACAGUUGGGCCGGUCGAGCCCAGGCCGUCCGAUGCACUGCCUCCCAACCGUCAGAUUGAUCCCCUUCCGCAUCGUCGUCUACCUUCCGCGUCAGAUCGAGCAACGCAAGCGCCACGGGCCAUCCCGCACCCAGCCAUGGCGCGUCUACCUCGUCGUCAUCCCCGUCGCCGUUCGCCCUCGCCGCUCGCCCUCGCCGUCGCCGUCGCCGUCGCCGUUCGCCGGUUGGAGCACAGGUGCCCCAUGGCCCCACCCCUCUUAUGCAGCAAAAAAAUGGGCCCAGCAAACAAAAAAUCGACCCCUGCCGGUCCCUGGAGUUCGUCGCCGUUGCAGCUCCGCCGGGAAGCCACCGCAGUAGUCAGUUGCAUCAAUGGUGAGUUGCCGAUUCGAGCUUUUUGUCACGGUCUCGUAGAAGCUUUUCAGAAAUACGGUUGAAGCUUUUCAGAAUUACGGUUGAAACUUUUCAUGUCAACAAUUGCAACUUUUUUCGUUGUGUACUCGUGGGGGUGAAGCUUUUCUAUACAGUUGGUUGAAUCUUUGUAUAAAGCGGGUUGAAGCUUUUUUCAUCAAGGGUUUGUAGCAUUUUAUGUCGAUGGUUGUAGCAUUCCGCCAUGGCAAUGACUUCUUGAAAAGCUUUUCAUGCAUAUCUGGUUGAAGCUUUUUUAACCUUUUGUUGAAGCUUUUCGUACUAUGGUUGAAGCUUUUCGUAUGAACGGUUGUAGCUUUUUUCAGUGCAUGGUGUCCGGUUGAAGCUUGAUAUACCGCUAGUUGAAGCUCUCGAAUUGAACGAUUGUAGCUUUUUUGGUGGUCGGUUGCAACAUCGGUGGAGGAGAAAAAAAAUGCUUCCAAAGUUCGUCUUGAAGCAGAUGGUUGCAGCGGUAGGGGAGGAGGUCGCGCACUCGCGCUGCCGUGGUUGAAGCAUCUCCGGUGGACGGUUCCAGCACAGGGGAGUACGAACAGCAGCUCGCGGAUGGUAUAUUCCAUGGCGGCUUCCAGCUCCGGCUCG
rnacentral:rRNA from 1 species